GAAGUUUGUCAGACAAUCGCCGGCGUUCGGAUGUUCACAUUCGAACACGGGAGGAAAGUCCGGGCUCCAUAGAGCAGGAUGCUGGAUAACGUCCAGUCAGCGCGAGUUGAAGGAAUAGUGCCACAGAAAUGGACCGCCGAUGACGUAUCUGGUUUCCAGUUACGAACAGGCAAGGGUGGAACCGUGGUGUAAGAGACCACGAGGAUGUUUGGCGACUUACGUCCUGGUAAACCCCAUCUGGAGCAAGACCUAGGAGGAACGUAGUGCUUCAUUGCACAGCCUUAGCUCGAGGCGCGUUCGGGUUGGUCGCUGGAGCCGCGUAGUAAUGCGUGGCCUAGAUAGAUGAUUGUCACUUUCGCCGUGGGAGGGCUUAACCCCGUGAUUACCACUUGAGAGUACAGAACCCGGCUUACGACAAGCUUUUCUA
rnacentral:RNase_P_RNA from 1 species